UCUGCCUAUGACCUUCAGCCCCAUUGUGGGGCUGAGAAGCCUGGCAUUUGGAGGCUUCAGACUGCCACAGGGAUCUCCAAAUUCACCCACUGGGGAGGCAAAGGCUUCUGUUGGAUGUGUCACAAGGAGGAGCCCUCUUCACUCAGGCAAGGCUGGAAAAGACUUGAGCUUGCAAGAAAAAUAAACCAGAGAAUUUUGAAGGUACGAAAAGUUAAUAAAAUUAUGUGUAUGCAUUUAAAAUGCUCUGUAAGAAAAUAUUUUUAAAAAUGAGAUUAUUGGUAUAAUAAGAAGUGGGACCCAGAAUAGAGAUGGGUUUGUCUGGACAAGGAAAUUAAAACACCACCUCUUCCUCUGAAAUAGGAGGAAUACAGAAAAGGAAUGAUGUUAACACAGAGAAACUCCAAAGUGGAGAGAAACAGAGUUGAGGUAGUAGAUCCCUGAAGACUUUUCACUUCACCAGAAAAUUGAAGUGACAUCCUUCACCAGAAAAUUGGCUGAUGGUAAGAGGCAUUGGGAUGGAGCUGAAGACUCAUGGAGCCUAGAGAAUUCUUUGCAAGGGCUGGGAGGAAAGCAACAGGAAGCUAACUCCAGAUGGAUAACCAUGGAAGCAGGAAGGGCCCGGAUUGGGUUGUGGAGUGGGAUACUUAGGGGGUCCUGUGGUACAGUAGUGACACUUUUUCUAGCAAAACUUGGCAAUCCUGGAGUGAGCAGGUGGUGGGUGAUCUAGAGUGAGAGUUGCCACUGAGGACACUGGCAGGUAAAAGGGCCAAGUGUCCCCAGGAUGUUAGCAAGCGCAGUGCAGAGUAGCUGGUGUGGGUCCAGACUGAGCAGGACAGUGAGGGAGGCCGGGAAUAUGCUUGUGCUUGGUCCCAUGUGGUUAUAUCAGCCACCAUGACAUUGACCUUCAUAUAUUGGAUUCUUGGAAAUUCUUUGUUUAGCCAAGGAAGAUAGUUAUUUCAGCAUAGGCCAAGCCACAAAAUGAUAGAAUGAGGGUUUACGUUUUUUGUAGAUUGUUCCUUGUCU
rnacentral:lncRNA from 1 species